rnacentral:rRNA from 1 species
UAGGGANUCUUCCGCAAUGGGCGAAAGCCUGACGGAGCAACGCCGCGUGAGUGAAGAAGGAUUUCGGUUCGUAAAGCUCUGUUGUUAGGGAAGAAUGAUUGUGUAGUAACUAUACACAGUAGAGACGGUACCUAACCAGAAAGCCACGGCUAACUACGUGCCAGCAGCCGCGGUAAUACGUAGGUGGCAAGCGUUGUCCGGAAUUAUUGGGCGUAAAGCGCGCGCAGGUGGUUUAAUAAGUCUGAUGUGAAAGCCCACGGCUCAACCGUGGAGGGUCAUUGGAAACUGUUAAACUUGAGUGCAGGAGAGAAAAGUGGAAUUCCUAGUGUAGCGGUGAAAUGCGUAGAGAUUAGGAGGAACACCAGUGGCGAAGGCGGCUUUUUGGCCUGUAACUGACACUGAGGCGCGAAAGCGUGGGGAGCAAACAGGAUUAGAUACCCUGGUAGUCCACGCCGUAAACGAUGAGUGCUAAGUGUUGGUCUCAUAAGAGAUCAGUGCUGCAGCUAACGCAUUAAGCACUCCGCCUGGGGAGUACGACCGCAAGGUUG